rnacentral:tRNA from 1 species
CAAGGGGUAGUUUAAUAAAAUAUUAGUUUUGGGGACUAAAGAUAGGAUUUUGGUUCUGCCCUUGA